rnacentral:lncRNA from 1 species
UGUCCUUAGGCCAAAAUAGAAGACAUAUGGUUUCCUAGUGUUCGUUCUGCCUUGUCUAUCAAUGACAUGGUGUUACAUUUGAAGCUCGAUGCGCCUCCUCUGACGGCGUCUGUCCGCUGACCUGUGAAAAGAAUAUUCAUUGUUUUCCGGAAUUGAGCUUCAAUCAUAUAUUUGUGGUUGAAGAAGAGUCUUUUGUAAACUUACCAACGUUAAAGACAUUGUAAGUAAAUUGAAGCGCGAACUGUGAUAUNAACAAGCUGGUAGUUGUANAGCACCAAAGAGAACCAANCUACUGCUUCNANACUGUUCAUGUCACAGACACAGACGAUUUAAUGGGAAUUUCAUUAAAGACGUUUUGAAAAACAUGUUUAGUGGUCUGGAGAAACUUGAAGCAAUAAGAAUAAAUGAAGAAGGGUGGAAGGUGUUCUAUAGCUACCUUUGGUAAUGUGGCUGUCAUAACAUGGUGGAUAUUCCUUUCAAGAAAACGACCAAGAACACAAGGUGUAAAGAUAAACAGUGUCCAGUCCUUGCUAUUUUGCCAUCUCGCGCUUGUUGAUCUUCUCAUGGGAGUAUAUAUAUCUUCUGCUCAUUGGAACUUACAAUGAAAUAUGGAAGGGAGAAUUAUUUCUGCAUGACGUGGAGUUGAGAGCUGGCAUCAAGUGUAAAAUAGCAGGCGCCAUUUCCACUUUGUAAAGCGAAGUUUCAGUCAUGAUGAAAGGAGUAGAAGGAAGAGCCUGGAGAAAAGGUAUUGAUGAAGGGAGAGAGCCAACAAACUCUACUCACAUGUGAUGUGGAGUCAAGGAAUCGCACCCUAGAACCAAGAGAUGAAUGACAAAUAGACAAAAUCGGGUUGGAAAGACCAGGCUAAAGCAAGAGUGAAUAAUGAAGACCAGGGGUUACUGAGGUGAGGUGCUG